GACAGAGGGUGCAAACGUUGUUCGGAAUUACUGGGCGUAAAGCGCGUGUAGGCGGCUAAGUAAGUCGGGCGUGAAAUCCCACGGCUCAACCGUGGAAGUGCACCCGAAACUGCGUAGCUAGAGUCCUGGAGAGGAAGGUGGAAUGCUUGGUGUAGAGGUGAAAUUCGUAGAUAUCAAGCGGAACACCGGUGGCGAAGGCGGCCUUCUGGACAGUGACUGACGCUGAGACGCGAAAGCGUGGGGAGCAAACAGG
rnacentral:rRNA from 1 species